CUGGAGCCAAUUAAUACUACUUAAUCUCCAUCUUAAGCACAUCUUCCUACCCAUAACUGUUUUUAGAGUCCCUAUAAGGAAAUACGAGUGUAAGCAAAGUAACUCCACUAGUCAUGCAUUAUGAUAGAUAAUUAUGUCCUAUGUAUCAGAUCAUUUAAAUGUAAUUAAUAUUGUAUCCUGAUUUAGAAUGUCAAACUUAGUCAUUGUCUUGUUUUUCUCUACAGAUGCCAUCUAUUGGAAGAAAAAGAGCCACACUGGUUUACAGAGACCUGACUAGAGGCUUGAUAGUGCGUACACCCCUGCCAUCAACUUAAAUCGGGAGUCCUGGGAGAACAGAGCUGGUUCCCUUUGCAGCAGAAUUUGUGUCCAGCUACAGUGAUGCACCUCCUCCACCAGCAUAAAAAAAAGGAAGGCAGCGGAUGUUGUGGCCUAGAAGGGGUUGAGGGAGCUACUCCACAUGCCUGCAGUGGAGCUGGAAUGUCCUCCACCCAAUGCCAUCUGCAGUUUGUGUAGAGUUUUGGAGGAGGCUGAUCUAUGGUGCUGGUCACUGAUGGUGUCAGGUAUGUGACUGGUAGUGGGCUUGCUGACGGAGAACAGAUGGAGAGGUUGUGGUCCUACCUUAGAAGGACACCUGCUCUUUCCAUGACAUAGACUGACCAGGUGAAUCCAGGUGAAAGCUAUGAUCCCUUAUUGAUGUCACUUGUUAAAUCCACUUCAAUCCGUGUAGAUGAGGGGAUUGAAGACAGGUUAAAUAAGGAUUUUUAAGCCUUGAGACAAUUGAGACAAGGAUUGGGUACACCUCAGCCCAACCUCCAGCUCCAGCCUCCGCCCAACCUCCAGUUAAAGGCCCAGGCCCAGCACCAACUACUGGCCCUGUUCCAGCUCCACUCCACUCCCAGCUGCAAACAGGUAUUCUAAAAUCAAAGCCCACCAUUGACCUUAGGUGAGAGCAAUGGCCACAAUGGGUAUCUGUUUAAAGCGAAUGUCCUGAUUGUCUAAAGAAAUGGUCAAGUCACUGCCUGUACUGUACAUGUCAAUGUUGUUCAUCUCAAUGACCAAGACAUUUACAAUUCUGCAUUGAUACAUUGUACAGAGCAUUGUGUCUUACUUAAAUGUUAACCUGAUGCCACUGCUGGCAUCCAAAAUGGUAAAUGCUUGGUCCAUACCAUAUUGGGACGGCUUUUUUAAAAAACUCUAUCCCACCAGGCAUGCCCUCUAUUUCAAUGAUCACCUUGGCAGCCAAGCCAUAUAUGGAACUCUGCCCUGAAAAUGUAUAGGAAAAGUGUUGGCGAAAAUCCUUCCUUCCGCAGGUGGACACGGCAGAGUUCUCUGUAUUUUAAAUCUGUAUCUCAAAUCUAACUCCAACUAUCAAAUCCAAAUACAUUACUUUUUUUCAAGUAAAAGUUUAAAAAUGUAAUUAUUUACUAUUGUGACCCUUUAUAUUUGUGUUAUGUAUUGUCUCUACCUUCUUGCCCUUUAGGCUGUUGUCUGUUCCCAAUAAUGUUUGUGCGAUGUUUUGUACCGCUACCAUGUUGUGUUGCUACCAUGUUGUGUUGCUACCAUGUCGUUGUCAUUUUGUGUUG